rnacentral:misc_RNA from 1 species
UUUCAAUAAAUAAAUUAAAAAAAAUGAAAGCCACCACGAAAUACAACGAUCAGCUAGAAAAUCAUACGAAGCGCGAUGUUGGUACCAGUCAAGUGAAUAAGCCAACGAUACCGUAUUCAAGUAACGGAGCACAAGAAACACAACGUCAUACUAGAAAAAAGGAUAACGCUGAAGUGUCAAAAAUAACGUAUCAAGGCCUUGAAACACGAAAACCAGUGGCAAUUGAAAAGGGAUCGAGACGACUUAAUAACGCUCCGCGAAUUCCUCUAACGAAUGCAGCAAUCUGGAACAACGGCAACAUUGAGAAAAGUAACAAGAGAGACAAUGUUGGAACUAAUCAACAAAAUCAGUCAACGAAAUUGGUGGCAAAGAGCGGAAAAGAAAUACACAACCAAAAAAAAGGAAAGAAUCCGACCGAGAGGUGUUGGAAGAUUAUGAAAAAGAUAUACAUGAAAGGCCUAAAAGACCAAAAGGGCUGUCGGAACCGGUGAAUAGAAGGGUGCAGCAAAAAAACUUGAAGGACCGGGGUAGAAUACAGUUUAUCGAAAAACAAAGUCAGUCACACAGGGAGAAUAAUAGUAUUGAUGAUACUACCGGAGAACAUAACAAAAAUCGAGUGGAAGAAAGAGUGCCCACGACCUCGCGUUACUCAUGGAACGAGAGAGAAAAGAUAAAAAAUGCAGUAAUGAGUGUAUAAAUACAACAGAACGCAUAACUAUAUGAUGAUGAUGAAGCAGACUUGGAAAUAUUCAAUAUCACGUUAGAUGAUGAAAUCGAGGAAGUCGAAAUAAUUCCUGGAUGGUUAAUUAACCGGAAAAUAUUUGUCAACGCGGGAUCUGCUUCAAACAUGAACAAAAGACUAAAUACCUUGAUGUCAGCUUUGUGGAGCAAAGAUGAGAUGGACAAAUUAGUCGUUAAAAAGAGGAGAAAACGUGAUCAUGGGAAACGUGAAAUAACUACAAUGGAAAUUAAAAAGUUGAUGUAUGCCUGUAUCAAGCUGCAAUCCAUAAAAGAACUCCCGAUGGAAGGAGUGGACUCCAUCGUCAAUAUAAGAGCGAUGAUUUCGAACAAAUUAAAAAACGACCGCUAUAAUAAUAACCGCGCAAAAAAAAAAGCUACGAAGAAGGCACGAAAAAAUGGAGCGGCUGCAUCUAAUCAUUCCGGCGACGAAGACGACGAUGAUAUCCAAGACGACGAUGCCGACGGCGACGACAGCGGCGGCAACAACGUUGAUACCGACGACAACAGCGAUGACGAUGACCUAAACAUCGACGAUGACGACAACAACGUCGAUGUUUACGACUAUAAUAGCGACAACGACAACUGAAACGUUGACGUCAUCAACGCCAAUAAUUAAUUUAAUUUUUCUCCAUCUCGCAUAAUCAGUAAACAACAUCGCAGAAAGCCAAGCAUUUACCGGUAGAAUGAACGGAAUCAGUAGAUUAAUAUAAUGAUAGAUAAGAAGAUGUAUUUGAAUCAAAAGACUGAAUUUUAGAUAUAGCUAAAGAUUGGUAUGUCUGUGUUGUGAUUACAAUUUUCAAUACAUUAUGUCGCGUAAAAAAUUUUUUUUCAGUCAAAAUGUUUUAUACGACAUUGAAGUGCAAUUAAAUGCAAUGUAAGAAGCGACAAACAAAUAUCUAGCAAAAACGGUACUCGUUUUUGAAACGCGUACACUAAAUGAAUCUAUAUCUAUUUAAUUUUGUUAAUAAAAAAUCGCUAUAUAUGAGUAGACAAUUACAGAAUGGAAGGAAACAAAAAGUGUUAUGGAGUUUUUACGCUAAACACAAAUGUAAUAGAUCAAUUAGUGCAUACUUUGUGGACAAUAACAAAAUGUUACAAGCGGGUUGAGGUUUCGGAGGAUAAAUUGUAAGAGUGUGAUUAUUUUAUACAUUUAGCAAACAAACGUAUUGUGCCAAAAUUUUUGCUGUGAUACAGAAAUCGUCGAAUUCGAAUAAAAACUUUAUUGAUACAAA